UACAGAGCAGCAUGUUGAUGUCCCGCUGGACUUGCUGCGCGCAUGAGCGUGCGCCGCCCGCGGCAUUUUCCACCCUGCGGCGGCCGGUGUGGUGGGAGCUGACAGAGCUGAGGUGCUCGGCGUGCGCCUAGGCGUCGGCUCGCGGGUCCGGCGGGGUGUGCGUAGUCUGGGACUGUUCCAGCGCCGGUGCCUGGUCUCCGGGUGCGCUCGCCAUGGCGUACUCCCAAUCUCCCAUCACAGGUGCAGCCCGCGGGGCCAGUUGUUGCUUGUGCUGGAGGCCUCGAGAAACAUUCAGCCGCGAGAAGAGGAUCAUGUCCACAUGCAUCCUCGAAUGAGGGAUCCGAACCGAGCAGAAGCUCGAUGCGCCGAGCAAGGGCUUCAAGUAAGUUUUCCCCGUGGCUUGGCCUUGGCAGGAGGAGCGCCUCCUACUGGAGAUGGAGUGUGCCAAGCUGGUCGGCGACCAAGUCCAAGCUCCCAAAGCAAAAACUCUGGAGCGGUUGGAAAGCGACCCAGCGAGAGGGGCCAUGGGGAACUCCAGCGAGCCGCUUUGUUCUUGCGCUACGCCCAUGCUCCUCAAAAUAUUUCGACGCCAAGGAGAUGAAUAUUUCGUUUCCGAUAUCGUCGUCGGUUUUGCAUGCAGAAGAAGAAACUUAGUUGCGGAGGCCUGGUGCUUGUCGACCAAUCAUUAGGUACGUUUUAGGCUUGCAUUGCAUUGCUUUCUCCGGGGUCGCAUUCUACGAUCCUACCCCGGACGGAUGAUUGUAGGGGCCGGGAAUAUAAUCGAAUCAGUUACGUUUUGGGCUUGCAUUAUUCCAUUGCUUUCUCCGAAUACUACUUUUGUAUGUACUUACAUGAUGACAUCCUCCACUUGUCUGGCCUGGCAUAGUAUAGUAUAGUAGUGUGUAACUUAUUAUUUUCAGCAUUAAGAGGGUGUGGACGGAGUUUCUCCUCUACUUGGACACUACACCUCUCCUCACCAGUAACUAAUCGUCUCACUCGAUCAGCUGGAUCUUAGCCUAACUAACGUACCAAUGGUGCCUUCACCAUGGAAGAACCUCUCUGCGGCCGCCGCCGUCGUCCUCUUACUCGUCAUCCUGACAGCCGAGUCCUCGCAGGGUUUUUGGGAUGGCUGCAACGAGCACCUGAGCGGCAGUUAUAAAGGGGCGUGCUGGCCAUUUAUUAACGACGCCAAGUGCGGCACAACAUGCAUACGCGAAAGCUUCGACAACCUUUCCGGCACCUGUCAUACCUUUCAAUGCUGGUGCUGGACCACAUGCUAGGCCUCCUCCAACAGUUGAGCUAGUGCACUACCUCGACGAAGCAUCUCCAUAUAGUAUAUAAAAAGAGAGAGAGAGAGAGUCUAACUCAUGGCAUAUUGCUCAAUGUAUCUUAAUUUGGUCACGUUAAUAAAGU